AGAUGCGGCUUCAUACUGAACGUUCGGCUUUCGAGGCCGGCGUUUGGCUGCCACUCUCAGCAGGCUUACUUUGUCUGGGCACACUUAAAUGGUCGCGGACACCCAUGGGGCUCAGUCGUUGACGAUUUAUCGGUAUCCGAUUAUUCCGCUGUUUGACAUGUCUAUGCAUUGUAUAGUUAGUGGUCAUAUUCAAGAAAACACAUAUAUAGCUUAUGGGAUUCGUGAUGUCCCAUUGAACACGUUAGACAUUUCUUGUCGAAUGAAUAUAGUGACAUAUCAUUCCAGACAUUGUGACAUCCGCCACAAUUAUAUUCCCAUAGUCACAAAAAUGCUAACGCAUCUUUAAUGUAGGCUUUGCAUAUGGUGAUUAUUUGGAAUAAAUAAAUCGGCAAACACACUUUUGGACGCAGUACUUGUGGAGCAUGACCAUGUCAGGCAAAUACCUCAGUUAGUUGUGUGCCCGGCAGUUUUGGCAACUCAAGCAACCACAAAUAUUUUAGGAGAAGCUGAAAGUACUCUUGUCCCGGAAGCGAAACGUGAAGCUACGGACAAGUGGAGGCAUGCCAAAAAAUAAAUUUUAAACAAAGGGAUAUCCAAAAAUAUCGGUGCAUUUUUAUAUCUAAUUUUAUGAAACAAAUUAGCAUAAAUUUGCUGAGGUCUUCUUUUCUUUUAGACAUUCUUCAAAUGCCGCAAAGUCCCCAAACGAAGAGAUUGGUGAAACUGGCAGCGUCAAUUUCGCUUUAUGUACCCCUCCGCAAAAUCGUUCCUUCAUAAUUAAAAUUGUAUUCCAUAAGAAAAUAAUUUCUUCUCCUUGACGAUCAAUUUUUGAGAUCUGAUUAACUUAAUCCAAAGCUUGUUUUCGUAGCAAAUAUAUUAAUAACAAUCAAUGCAUUACCAGAAUGAUAGCAUUGAUUAUUUAAAGUACCAUUAGAUUGAUUGAACAAAGUACUAUUUGAUUGAUUUCACACAAGAAGUGUAUCUAGCCGUCGCUACUUCGCUGAAGUUGGCUCUGACUCCGGAACCAGAACAACAAAUAUAUUCACCACACACUUACACCUAAAUUCAGAAAAAAAUAUAGACGAAAAGUAACUUUAUAGUGAACCCAACGUGUUUUUUCUACAAGGGAAAAAAGUCAGUUUCCACAGCAAAAGCCCCCAACAGGAGCAGCAAUUCGCCCACCUUUCAUUGGAAGCCCUGCGGACGCCCUACUACAAAUAUUGGUCCUUCGAGCCGGAUAGAAGUUUCUUCUAUAAAUUAUCACAAAUAAUUUUAACGGAGUAUCCAAUUCGCCCCAGCACGCAUCGGUGGACCUGCAGGAGAAGCAAAUUCCAGGAGCAAUCAAACUCAAAUAAGUUAUCACUAGCCCUCCACUUGCCGGCAGAAGACGCAAACUCUGCAGUUCUACAAGCACUACAACAUGUCAAUGACCAGUACAUGAAAGUAAUCCGAUCUUCUGCAGGUGCGCGCUGAGCGGUCCCUGAAAAUGGCACCAGGAGCUGUUAGUUCCGCUAAUGUUGUUGCCGCGGUUCAGCUGCUUUAUAAUUAUUUAAGUGAAUAUUGUAAAUUCAGUUUAUAUGAAUGAACCGAAAGACCGAUCCAGACGGAUCUUGAAAUAAAUCGCAAUAUCUAACA